rnacentral:misc_RNA from 1 species
GCAAACUUGGUCAUUUAGAGGAAGUAAAAGUCGUAACAAGGUCUCCGUAGGUGAGUAGCAGUCAAUCAAAACUUCAACCAAAUAAUCCAAUACUAACGAACUUCUAGGUGAACCUGCGGAGGGAUCAUUACCGAGUGAGGGCCUCUGGCCCGACCUCCAACCCUUUGUUAUUAACACCUGUUGCCUCGGGGGCGACCCGGCCUGCGGGCGUCGGGGCCCCCGGUGGACCGUCAAACUCGCGUCAAAGCGUCCGAGCAAAUAGAAAAUUGAUAAAAACUUUCAACAACGGAUCUCUUGGUUCUGGCAUCGAUGAAGAACGCAGC